rnacentral:lncRNA from 10 species
UCCGAGCCAGGUGUGGGAUAUAAUCUCGUGGUGCGCCAUUUUUCAAGCCCGUCAGAAAAGCGCAGUAUUCGGGUGGGAGUGACCCGAUUUUCCAGGAGUCCUAACCUAAAAUAAAAUAGAACAUACUGUGCUUAAAGCAAGGGGGGAAUCAUGUAACAAUAAAACCAGUGAAGAAAAUUCUAAUGCUCAGGUAAGGCCUCAGAAAAAGUGGAAAACAGCUGGUCCUCAGGAUCCUCCAGCCUUUGCCAAGGAAAAGUGGUUUUAAUCACUGAAGAAUGAGGCUUCAACAUAUGGAAAGACUGUAAGUGUCUUGACACUGAAAUUUUCUCUUGUAGGUGUUCCUGGACAGCAAGUGAGUGACUUGCUCACAGGCGGUAAUUCAGGGACCCAGGUUUCUUCUACCUGGUAGCUCUACUGUCCUUCAGAACCUCAGAGCCCUGUGCAUUCAGCCAGCAGGAGAAAGACCACUACUAAGGUCAUUCACUUUGGGAGAAGCCAGUCUUCAUGCCAUGAGGACGUUCAGGCAGCCCUGUGGAGAGAACCACAUGGAAAGGAUCUGAGGUCUCUCACCAGCACCAAUUUGCCAGCUAUGGGAAUGGGCCACCUUGGAAGGAGACUGUCCAGCCCAAGUGAAGGCUGCAGAUAACUGCAGCUUUGGCCAACAUUUGGCUAUAUUGCUUUGGGAAAUCUCAAGCCAGAACCAUCUGG